rnacentral:rRNA from 1 species
CCUACGGGAGGCAGCAGUGGGGGAUAUUGCACAAUGGGGGAAACCCUGAUGCAGCGACGCCGCGUGGGUGAAGAAGUAUUUCGGUAUGUAAAGCCCUAUCAGCAGGGAAGAAAGAAGACGGUACCUGACUAAGAAGCCCCGGCUAACUACGUGCCAGCAGCCGCGGUAAUACGUAGGGGGCGCGCGUUAUCCGGAUUCACUGGGUGUAAAGGGAGCGUAGACGGCCGUGCAAGCCAGGAGUGAAAGCCCGGGGCCCAACCCCGGGACUGCGCUUGGAACUGUGCGGCUGGAGUGCGGGAGGGGCAGGCGGAAUUCCUGGUGUAGCGGUGAAAUGCGUAGAUAUCAGGAGGAACACCAGUGGCGAAGGCGGCUUACGGGACUGUAACUGACGUUGAGGCUCGAAAGCGUGGGGAGCAAACAGGAUUAGAUACCCCUGUAGUC